rnacentral:rRNA from 1 species
CACGUAGGGCGCAAGCGUUGUCCGGAAUCAUUGGGCGUAAAGAGCUCGUAGGUGGUCUGUUGCGUCCGCUGUGAAAACUCGGGGCUUAACCCCGAGCUUGCAGUGGAUACGGGCAGACUAGAGGUAGGUAGGGGAGAAUGGAAUUCCCGGUGUAGCGGUGAAAUGCGCAGAUAUCGGAAGGAACACCAGUGGCGAAAGCGACUUCCUGGUCGAAUACUGACGUUCAUGUGCGAAAGCGUGGGGAGCAAACAG